rnacentral:rRNA from 1 species
UACGUAGGGUGCAAGCGUUAAUCGGAAUUACUGGGCGUAAAGCGUGCGCAGGCGGUUUUGUAAGUUUGUCGUGAAAUCCCCGGGCUCAACCUGGGAAUGGCGAUGAAGACUGCAAGGCUAGAAUCUGGCAGAGGGGGGUAGAAUUCCACGUGUAGCAGUGAAAUGCGUAGAGAUGUGGAGGAACACCGAUGGCGAAGGGCAGCCCCCUGGGUCAAG